rnacentral:miRNA from 1 species
AGCUGGUUGAAUCUGGGCCAAAU